GGACCGGAGUGGACGCAUCACUGGUGUUCGGGUUGUCAUGCCAAUGGCACUGCCCGGUAGCUAAAUGCGGAAGAGAUAAGUGCUGAAAGCAUCUAAGCACGAAACUUGCCCCGAGAUGAGUUCUCCCUGACUCCUUGAGAGUCCUGAAGGAACGUUGAAGACGACGACGUUGAUAGGCCGGAUGUGUAAGCGCAGCGAUGCGUUGAGCUAACCGGUACUAAUGAACCGUGAGGCUUAACCUU
rnacentral:rRNA from 1 species